rnacentral:rRNA from 1 species
UACGUAGGGGGCAAGCGUUGUCCGGAAUCAUUGGGCGUAAAGCGCGUGUAGGCGGUCCGGUAAGUCCGCUGUGAAAGUCGGGGGCUCAACCCUCGGAUGCCGGUGGAUACUGUCGGGCUAGAGUGCGGGAGAGGCGAGUGGAAUUCCUGGUGUAGCGGUGGAAUGCGCAGAUAUCAGGAGGAACACCGAUGGCGAAGGCAGGUCUCUGGGCCAUUACUGACACUGGAGAAGCGAAAGCAUGGGGAGCGAACAGG